UACGUAGGGGGCUAGCGUUGUCCGGAAUCAUUGGGCGUAAAGAGCGUGUAGGCGGCCCGGUAAGUCCGCUGUAAAAGUCAAAGGCUCAACCUUUGAAUGUCAGUGGAUACUGCCGGGCUAGAGUCCGGAAGAGGCGAGUGGAACUCCUGGUGUAGCGGUGGAAUGCGUAGAGAUCCGGAAGAACACCGGUGGCGAAGGCGGUCUGCUGGGGUGAUGCUGACACUGAUGCGCGACAGCGUGGGGAGCAAACAGG
rnacentral:rRNA from 1 species